AGAGUUUGAUCAUGGCUCAGAUUGAACGCUGGCGNUAGGCUUAACACAUGCAAGUCGUGCGAGAAAGUAUCUUCNGCAUAUGAGUAGAGCGGCGGACGGGUGAGUAACGCGUAGGAAUCUACCUAGUAGAAGGGGAUAGCCCGGGGAAACCCGGAUUAAUACCGUAUACCUCCUUCGGGAGAAAGAAGGCCUCUCUUUGAAGCUUUCGCUACUAGAUGAGCCUNCGUAAGAUUAGCUUGUUGGUGAGGUAAAGGCUCACCAAGGGCUACGAUCUUUAGCUGNUCUGAGAGGACGAUCAGCCACAUUGGGACUGAGACACGGCCCAGACUCCUACNNGAGNCANCAGUGGGGAAUAUUGNACAAUGGGCGCAAGCCUGAUCCAGCCAUACCGCGUGUGUGAAGAAGCCCUUCGGGUUGUAAAGCACUUUAAGCAGGGAGAAAAAGUUAUAAG
rnacentral:rRNA from 1 species